rnacentral:rRNA from 1 species
AGUGAACGCUGGCGGCAGGCUUAACACAUGCAAGUCGAACGGAAGCACAGUAAGAGUUUGCUCUUACGGGUGGCGAGUGGCGGACGGGUGAGGUAUAUAUCGGAACCUACUCUUUCGUGUGGGUUCACGAAGGGAAACUUACGCUAAUAUAGCAUACGACGUACCGGUGAAAGCAGUGGAUAUUUGCACCUUGCGCGAUUGAAUGAGCGGAUGUGGUACUAGCUAGUUGGGGGGGUAAUUGCCAAGCAUGGCGACGAUCGGUAGCUGGUCUGAGUGGCUGAUCGGCCACACUGGAGCUGAGACACGGUCCAGAGGCCUACGAGAGGGAGCAGUCGGGAAUAUUGGACAAUGGGGGCAAGCCUGAUCCAGCCGUACCGAGUGGGUUACGAAGGCCUUCGGGUUGUAAAGCCGUUUUGUUGGUAAAGAAAAGCAGCCGGUUAAUACCCCGCUGUUCUGACGGUACCCAAUGAAUAAGCACCGGCUAACUUCGUG